rnacentral:rRNA from 1 species
UACGGGGGGGGCAAGCGUUGUUCGGAAUUACUGGGCGUAAAGGGCGUGUAGGCGGUCAGGUAAGUGGGAUGUGAAAUGCCCCGGCUCACCCGGGGACCGGCAUCCCAUACUGCUUGGCUUGAGUACGGGAGAGGAUGUGGGAAUUCCUGGUGUAGCGGUGAAAUGCGUAGAUAUCAGGAGGAACACCGGUGGCGAAGGCGCACAUCUGGCCCGAUACUGACGCUGAGGCGCGAAAGCUAGGGGAGCAAACGGG